UUACAGGGGAAGUCGGUGAUCCUAUGCUGCCAAGAAAAUCUUCUAGCGAGGUUCGAGCCGCCCGUACCCCAAACCGACUCAGGUGGUUAGGUAGAGAAUACCAAGGCGAUCGAGUGAAUCGUGGUUAAGGAAUUCGGCAAAAUACCCCCGUAACUUCGGGAGAAGGGGGGCCCAGAGGGUGACGGGACUUGCUCCCCGAGCCUGAACGGCCGCAGAGACCAGGGAGAAGCGACUGUUUACUAAAAACACAGGUCCGUGCCAAGUCGCAAGACGAUGUAUACGGACUGACGCCUGCCCGGUGCUGGAACGUUAAGGGGACCGGUUAGCCUCACGGCGAAGCUGAGAACUUAAGCGCCAGUAAACGGCGGUGGUAACUAUAACCAUCCUAAGGUAGCGAAAUUCCUUGUCGGGUAAGUUCCGACCUGCACGAAUGGCGUAACGAUUUCUCCACUGUCUCAACCACGAACUCGGCGAAAUUGCACUACGAGUAAAGAUGCUCGUUACGCGCAGAAGGACGGAAAGACCCCGGGACCUUUACUACAGCUUGGUAUUGGUGUUCGGUACGGCUUGUGUAGGAUAGGUGGGAGACUGUGAAGCUGACACGCCAGUGUCGGUGGAGUCACGUUGAAAUACCACUCUGGUCGUUCUGGAUAUCUAACCUAGGUCCGUGAUCCGGAUCAGGGACAGUGCCUGGUGGGUAGUUUAACUGGGGCGGAUGCCUCCUAAAAGGUAACGGAGGCGCCCAAAGGUUCCCUCAGCCUGGUUGGCAAUCAGGUUUUGAGUGUAAGUGCACAAGGGAGCUUGACUGUGAGACUGACAAGUCGAACAGGGACGAAAGUCGGGACUAGUGAUCCGGCGGUGGCUUGUGGAAGCGCCGUCGCUCAACGGAUAAAAGGUACCCCGGGGAUAACAGGCUGAUCUUGCCCAAGAGUCCAUAUCGACGGCAUGGUUUGGCACCUCGAUGUCGGCUCGUCGCAUCCUGGGGCUGGAGUAGGUCCCAAGGGUUGGGCUGUUCGCCCAUUAAAGCGGUACGCGAGCUGGGUUUAGAACGUCGUGAGACAGUUCGGUCCCUAUCCUCUGCGCGCGCAGGAAACUUGAGAAGGGCUGUCCCUAGUACGAGAGGACCGGGAUGGACGAACCUCUGGUGUGUCAGUUGUUCUGCCAAGAGCACCGCUGAUUAGCUACGUUCGGGAGUGAUAACCGCUGAAAGCAUCUAAGCGGGAAGCAUGCUGCAAGAUGAGGUUUCCAUGGGGUUUACCCCGAGAGGCUCCCAGCUAGACUACUGGGUUGAUAGGCCGGAUGUGGAAGUGCGGUAACGCAUGGAGCUGACCGGUACUAAUAAGCCGAUAACUC
rnacentral:rRNA from 1 species